GACCCGAUGGUGAAGUUCAUCACACCUGCAUUCCGUACACGCAUGGUGGUGCUUCUGAGGCGGGAGUUCCUGGUUCAAACCCAGGUCGGGUCA